rnacentral:rRNA from 1 species
UACGGAGGGAGCUAGCGUUGUUCGGAAUUACUGGGCGUAAAGCGCACGUAGGCGGCUUUGUAAGUUAGAGGUGAAAGCCCGGGGCUCAACUCCGGAAUUGCCUUUAAGACUGCAUCGCUUGAAUCCGGGAGAGGUGAGUGGAAUUCCGAGUGUAGAGGUGAAAUUCGUAGAUAUUCGGAAGAACACCAGUGGCGAAGGCGACUUACUGGACGACUGUUGACGCUGAGGUGCGAAGCGUGGGGAGCAAACAGG